AGCUGCUUCUUCCUCAGGGUUACUGGAAGCCUCUUCUGCCUUGGGUAAUUCUGAUUUAUCUGACUCAUGCUCCUGCAGCAUUUCUUCAAACUCAGCAUCAGACAUGUGCCUCCCUGUUCCAUGAAGAUGGGAAAUUGGUUAAUGAAGAUAAAUGUUGAUUGCUGUGUUGCUCCCAGUGGGUGGAUAGAUGUCAAUACAGUACACAAGUGUGAGGAAGCAAAUAGGAAAAAGGCUUGGGACAUGUCUUCAUCCAGAUGUGGACUGAUACAAAUGAAAUUAUGAUAAACAUCCUGAAAGUUUAGUAAGAAAACUGAGCAAGUAUAUCUGAAUGUUACAGAUUUCACCCAACACAACAUUCUUGUAGCAGCUUUCUAAGUUUACAGGAAUGGUUAUCUAUAUACAGUAUAUAUUUAAAAGCAAAAUUAUCAUUUUGAAUAGUCAUUGAAAAGUAAAAGUAGAAUAAACAUGAAAGUAAUAAAGAUCACUCGGUAAUAAUACUAUUAAUGAAAAGUGCUCAACCCAGGAGGGUCAUUCAGCACUGUACAGCAGAAAAGAAUGCCCAUCAAAAGAAAAAAAGGUCAAAAGGCACAAGGCGGACAGGACAGGACAGGAGAAUUACAAGAAAAAUCAGUGUAACAGGUCUCUGGUAAAAGGUUGUAGAUAGCCUCUAUAUUAAAGUUGGAACUUUUACAGAAAAGGGAUGAUUGAGCAUGAAAAUAGAGACUGAAAGUAAACACAAUGUAUGUAAAGAUUAACAAAUUAGUUUAAUAUGAUGUGAUGGACAUUAUGGUUUUUGUAAACCUCACUCAGUGAAGUAGUGCCCAACCAUGAGAUGACCAUGGGUGAAUGGUAUGCUCAGUGUAAUGAUAAUGCAAAGAUGGUCAGUUGGCCAGGUGUGUUUAUAGAAAACAGCUUAUUGGGUAUCUUUAUGCCUAAUAGUACUGCCAGCAACCUCAUAUGUACUGGGUGAAAAUUGGGUAUACAGUAAUUGCCUGUGGGAUGCUGGAAGCUUCCAAAAUGCUGAAUAUUUAGAGGAGUCAGCAAGUUCAUUGUCUGGAAUUCCAGAAUGAUUAGGGAUCCAGAGAUGAAACAAGGUAACACUUACAUGGAAAUUACCAAGGGGAUGAGAAGAAUCAAAA